rnacentral:misc_RNA from 1 species
GAAAUGCGAUAAGUAAUGUGAAUUGCAGAAUUCAGUGAAUCAUCGAAUCUUUGAACGCACAUUGCGCCCGCCAGUAUUCUGGCGGGCAUGCCUGUUCGAGCGUCAUUUCAACCAUCAAGCCCCGCGCUUGUGUUGGGGACCUGCGGCUGCCGCAGGCCCUGAAAACCAUUGGCGGGCUCGCUGUCACACCGGGCGUAGUAGAUUUUAUCUCGCUCAGGGCGUGCUGCGGGUUCCGGCCGUUAAAAAGCCUUUUUUACCCAAGGUUGACCUCGGAUCAGGUAGGAAGACCCGCUGAACUUAAGC